UACGUAGGGUGCAAGCGUUGUCCGGAAUUAUUGGGCGUAAAGAGCUCGUAGGCGGUUUGUCGCGUCUGCUGUGAAACCCGAGGCUCAACCUCGGGCCUGCAGUGGGUACGGGCAGACUAGAGUGCGGUAGGGGAGAUUGGAAUUCCUGGUGUAGCGGUGGAAUGCGCAGAUAUCAGGAGGAACACCAAUGGCGAAGGCAGAUCUCUGGGCCGUAACUGACGCUGAGGAGCGAAAGCGUGGGGAGCGAACAGGAUUAGAACCUCGUAGCA
rnacentral:rRNA from 1 species